GUUGCGAUGGCCGAGUGGUUAAGGCGUUGGACUCGAAAAUCCAAUGGGAUCUUCCCGCGCAGGUUCGAAUCCUGCCCGCAACG
rnacentral:tRNA from 2 species